rnacentral:tRNA from 2 species
CGCGGGAUAGAGCAGCUUGGUAGCUCGUCGGGCUCAUAACCCGGAGGUCGUAGGUUCAAAUCCUACUCCCGCAA